rnacentral:rRNA from 1 species
UAUAGAAAUAAUAUCAAUGUCAGUUGCAGUCUGGAACCAUCCAUUAUUAAUCACACACUAAGCAGGGUUGAGCCUGCCAGUACCUGUAUGGGAGACCUCCUGGGGAAAACUAAGGUUGCUGCUGGAA